UACGUAGGGUGCGAGCGUUAAUCGGAAUUACUGGGCGUAAAGAGUGCGCAGGCGGUUUUGUAAGUCAGGUGUGAAAGCCCCGGGCUCAACCUGGGAAUGGCAUUUGGGACUGCAAGGCUUGAGUGCGGCAGAGGAGACUAGAAUUCCUGGUGUAGCAGUGAAAUGCGUAGAUAUCAGGAGGAAUACCGAUGGCGAAGGCAGGUCUCUGGGCUGACACUGACGCUCAUGCACGAAAGCGUGGGGAGCAAACAGG
rnacentral:rRNA from 1 species